GGAGACACAGGAUCCGAAGCAGGCUCCAGGUUCUGAGCUGUCAGCACCAAGCUAGAUUCGGGGCUUGAACCCACAAACCUGGAGAUCAUGACCCGAGCUGAAGCCCAUGCUUAACUGAGUCACCCAGAUGCCCCUAUUGUAGCAUUUAUUAAAGCACUGCACUCACGUAAGUUUUCCACAUCACACCAGCCCUUUAAAAACAAUUAUUUGUUUACCAUUCGGCCUGUGCCAGGCAACUGACAAUAAUCCAUUUAAUCCUCACGACAGCUUUUUUGAAUAUUCCUAUUUUCCUGAAACCGAGGGUCAUCCAACAAAUUCCUCACAAGUUCAGGAUUUGGUUGCACACACCCUACUUUCAAACAUAGGCUUUUUUUUUUUUUUUUUUUACCCAAACAGGUUACUUUGAACUCAGGAACAAGGUUAGAUUGUCACCUUUAUACGCUCAGCUCUUAGCCUAGCUCCUGGCACAGAAUGUCUCAAACAAGUGACGCAUUAGUAGGGUGCUGUUUGUAAACGUUCCUUCCGCGUACCGUGGCGAGAAGUGCUAAUUACAAGCCAGCGACGUAGACUCGGAAAGAAAUCCAGAAUUUACGGACGCUGCAGGACUCUCGGUCUUUCUUUCACUCCUAUCUCUAUGGUUAGCAAGUGACCACUCUACACUCUGGAGGACUCAGCGAGCGCAGAUGAGCCCUAGGCGACCUUAUUGGCACGUGACCGGAAGUCUGACUUGCUAUUGGUUAAUGCUGGUAAAGCCCGCCCAACAGCCUCCUGUCAGCUCCUUUAAGUAGACUCCGCGGGGAAGCGCUCAGUCUUUUCGGCGACUGUGAGGUUCGAGAGAUUCCUGCCGGGCCGAGAACGUAGAUCACCUUCUACUCCCCUUCGACCUUUCCCCGAAGCCUUUGAAUAAAAUGGUUUGAUCCCA